CAAGUAUAGUUUGUCCAAGGGAGUUUGAUCUAUAAUGAAUGAAAACCAGAGUUUUUUUUUUUUUUUUUUUUAAACCAGAUUCUGCUCUAUUCGUAAGCUGGUAUUUAACUGACAUUACACAAGCACAACCCCUAGCUGAAGUGCACAGGAUAUAGGCUAUCGAUUUAUACCCUUGGGAUAUCAUCACCAUUGUGUUGGCCGCAUGUAAUGUGCUUGUGCGGGCCGCAUUGUUUGAUGGCCAGAGAUGGAUUUAUGCAGGAAUGUGCCACUCAGUGCACUGCACUGAUCUGCACAGUGAUUGAAUAUUGAGAUGAUGGGAGUGUACUACUAUCUGGGGCUGCACCCUGACAGUGAACCAGACAUGUUGGAUAAUACGCCUGUCCCAAGUUGUCUCCGUCUGCUGGGGAAACUUAAUUCAUUUAGGCCAUGUGGGCCAUUAUGCCAUUUUGUGAGAGGAGGCUUUUGAUGAAUCCAUGUCUUCAACAUUAGCAUUAUAGAGUAAAAAUCUGUAUGUUUUAUACUUUCAAACUUUUGUAAUACUAUAAAAUGACCUCUUGGAAACACUUUGACAUAAUAAAGUGGUGGAUUUGUGUGUGAGGUACAUUUAUCCAUUAUGAGCUCCUUUUGUAGUAUAUUCACAUGCUCAACAGGGUUCAAGAACAGACAGACCAUGUGUUUUCUUUGCGCUCACACUUCAGCCUUGCCAGUAAAUUGUCCAUGAAGCAGUUUUUGGGCUCAGGAACACAAAUUCCCCCAAUUCCUUUUUUUUAUGUGCCUGCAUGUUUUUGAACCUCCCUGGAAGCACAUAAACUUGUUUUGCUAUUUGGCAGAUUAUUGUUCACCAUGUAACUUUUAUACCCAAACACGAUGGAACGACAUAGUUGUCACGUUUAGUCUAGGGUGCUUUUUUUCAUUUUGAUUGCAAGCUUUACAUGUUUAAAUAUACCUGAGUACAAUGAAAUGUACUCAUGGCCAGCAGAAUAGUUUUCUUUUGUCUUGCUCAACAAUUUGUUGCAGCAAUAGUUAAAAGAUACAAAGGCAUAAAUGUCAUGGAAUAGUCAUGGAGUAGUAGGUCAUGUUAUCACCUCCUUGCAGAACAGAAUUAAUCACUCUUUGUGGAGGCAGGGAUAAGAAAACAACAACAACAAGGAUAGUCUGUUCCACCUUUCCUUUUCUCUACCUCCCUCACAAAAGGAGUCUCUUGGUAUAGGAUGUUACGGCUAGCGUUCCCAGUGCAACUCUCACUCGCAUUUCAAAAAACCUGGAGCUUCGCUUCCCGAAAAAUAUGUACACGCGCACAUACAUCAUCUGCCGAGGACUAUUUUAAUGUCUCUAAAGGAUUCACGAAGAUGGAUGCCUGUAGAGAGGGCCAUCUGUAUUUCCUUGCAGGGACCACCGGUGUUCCGGCUCUGAAGGGAUGGGAAAUCCGCACUGGGAAAUGAUGAGUGAGAAAAGCCCUCUACCACAUUGUGUCAUGAUGACUAAAAGUAAAUACCUCUGAGCCAAACCUUUUGACUGCACCUCAAUUGGUUUAAGUCAUUAGUAUGGAUUGAUUGCAUUUGUGCACAAGCCGCAACAGUCACGUAAAGCCACUCAUUUCAUUGAUGUUUUUAAAUUGAAACUGUUUGCAGUGGAGGUGACAACACUGCUUUCUUUGUCGGGCUCCAUCACGUUGCCUGUUAAUCUAGCCUGUGAGCACCACGCAAACUGGCUCACUGGUCUUACCUAGCGUGAUGUGUCCUUUGCCAUAUUUGACCCGCCUUUGUAUCAAUUUCUGGCAGUAUUGACUUUUGGGAACUGUUUGCAAACACUGAUGACACGUGUGGCUGGAUGAUGUGGUAGCGCCCAAAGGCCUUAUUUGCACUUUGCCAGUUCAACAUGAAUGACUUACAUAAAGUAGGUCUGGGGAGUGAUGAUAGCUGGCGUCAUUGCUGAUGCACUACAUGUGCCUUGCUCAGCUAUAUCAAACCCGUCAUUGACACUUUAAAGCUCUGAUGACCAUGAUGCUAUUUUUUUGCACUGUAUUUAUCUCAGACAUUUAUAACCACAAAGUCCUUUCUCAGGUUCUCUCAUUGCACUCCAUCACUGGCUCACAGAUAGACAUACAAAUAGGCUCUCAGUGAAAAUAUUUAACUCCUCAAAAUAUGCGCACAAGACAAAAACACACUUCUCCCAUGUGUGGAAAAGUGACCUGACUUGUUGGAGCAUACUUGUUUUUUUUUUUUAAUUAAGUCUUUAUCAGUAAUGCAGUUGGUAUUAUGUUUUAAAUUGAAUUCAUUGAGUGUGAGUGUUGCCAUGCCCUUUUGUGCACAUUGUCACUGACUCAUGACUGUGUCACUUGGUAUUCAGUGACUCACAACAGAAGCGUUGCUGAGAUGAAACCAAAUCCGUGACCAGUCACUGGCCGCACCACGUGCUUCCUUGCCUCCGUACAGCUUCCCGUCAAUGAAGUAAUGACAUGUCUACCUUCAGAUGAUGUACCUCACACGCUUAACAAAGCAACAAGGAAAUAGUGAGCUCGGCCGGCCUCUGGAGUGUGCCAGAAGAAAGCAGCAGGUCUCCAUAUGUUAACUAAACAUUUGCUCAGCAAUCUGCAGGGGUCUCCGUCUAGGCUUUAUUUUCACUUCUCCCCAGGUUGCUGUGCUAUCACUUUACGCUUACUUUAAAGGGGCCUUCCUUAUUAAUGCAUGGAAUGGGUUUAAAACGCUUGUAUUUUAAAACAGUUCAAUUGGCAAGUGACAACCUAAGCAAUGACAGUUUGAACUGUUCAUAGUAAUAACCUCAUUACAACAAUCAUCACUUUCCGUAUUAAAAAAAUGUGUAUUUGCUUCUGAAUUAUAAAUCUCCCUGCUAUUGUAAAUUAUUAAAAAAAUAAGAGGUUCUUCCUCAAUUGUUUGUCUUGGCAUGACUUAUUGAUAAAUGUCAAAAUGCUCUGCCAUGGUGCUUAAUAUUAAUGAAAGUUACACUUAAGAGUAGCCAGAGUUACAUGUCUGAAGCAUGUCUCACUACUAGUGGCUCCAGUCUAAGUGCAGCUCUGACAGUAAGUCUGCUUCUCCAACACUUUAUCAUCUAUCCUGUAGCAGCUUGUGAAUGUGUCACAUUUAGUAUGGCUCACACUAUACAGGGGUACAUGAGAGUCAGUAGCCUAAGAUCUUUGAAUUAUAAAUCUAUGUUCUAAUUGAAAGUUGUUAUUUAUAUUACCAAAACAUAACCACUGCACAAUUACAUCUUUGUAGACAUCUUUUGGCCGGAAUUGCUUGUUUUUCUGUCUCAAACUUUUUUGCUAUUGAGAAGUCAUAUCAAAUAAAACUCCGUGCAGCUUCCAGCUCUUUUUUUCCAAGCGACCUAAAUGAUGUCACAUGUAUCCUAUAGGAGACACCAUAUAGACCCAGUGUGCUAUGUAUCUUUUCAUUAUUCAUUACAAUUUCCAUUAGCUUUUUACUCGUAAGUCAUGUUCAGGGUCAGUACACGUUGCUUUUCAGAUGUUUUGAGCCACAAGGCCUACUUCACUCAAACUUUUCUUUGUGGAAGCUUUUAUUUUUUUACAUUCUUUAUUGGGUCAGGAUGUGUUUAGGAGGCUAACUACAUGAAAAUACUGUAAUUUAAGAUAAUUGUUUUGUUGUUAAAACAGAUGAGGUGUUAGAUGUUGUCAAGUGGAAACAACCGUUCUUUAACCUUUGUGUUUUUCACAUGUGACGGUUAAUUUCUAUGUCAGCAGCUAUUCUAGAUCACUUCCUAGAUAAGUGAUAUGUCAACUGGGUUCCAUAAUGUAAUAUAGAACACCCUUUUAUCAAUGGCCAUAACCCUGGGAAAACUAGUCUUGGCACAGUCUUGAAAUGUUUGAAAGAUUUACACAAUUCUCAAUCUUAAUGCGAUACAGGUCAUUGUAAAGAGCUCAGGUUUUAUAAGUACCAUAUGUAAUACGCGUUACAGUGUAGAUUUCGAUGAAUGUAAUAUUCUAGUGUCAAAUAUAUAUUCAUUACAUAGUGGAAUGCAUUGAGAACAAAAUAACGAUAAUGAUUAGUGGAAAUCAUCAACCCAUGGAGGUCUGGAUUCAGAAUAAUACUCAACAUAAAAGUGGGACAAUCAAGCAAUCAGGCUGAUCCAACGUCUGGAAAAUUCUCAAAAUAAGGCUCUGUUGUGUGUGUGUGGCCUCCAUGUGCCUAGCUACAAUGUCCGAGCAUGCCCCUGAUAAGACAACAGAUGCUCUCCUGAGGGAUCUCAUACCACACCUGGAUCAGGGCAUUAGUCAGCUCCUGGACAGUCUGUGGUGCGGCAUGGCAGCAAUGGAUGGAAUGAGACAUGGUGUUUUAGAGGUGCUUGAUGGGGUUCAACUGUGGGGGACGGGUAGGCCGUUCUAUAGAAUCUCAAUGCCUUCAUCAAUCCUCUUGGGCAUGGAAUUCACCAGAGCUGCACAGGUUGAAACUGGAAUCCUCUUCCAUUUCUCCUCCUGGAGCUGGUGUUAGACACUUUGUGCUCAUCCACCUUCCCUCCGCUUGAGGAUGCCCUACAGGUGCUCAAGGGGGUGCACGUCUGGAGACAUACUUUGCCACUCUAUCACCUUCAACUUCCUCAGCAAGACAGUUGUCAUCUUGGAGGUCUGUUUAGGCUUGUUACCAUGUUGGAAAACUGCCAUGCAGCCCAGUUUCCCUAGGGGGGGGGAUCAUGUUCUGCUUCACAAUGUCACAGUACAUGUUGGAAUUCAUGUUUCCUUUUAUGAACUGCAUCACUCAUGCAGACCCAAACCAUAAUGCUCGUACCACCAUGUGUGGCUGUAGGCAAGACACAAUUAUCUUGCUACACACUAGGGAAGUCCCGAUCCACAUUGUUUGGCUUCCGAUCCGAUCCUUUUUAUAGUGUUGCCGAUCCGGUACCGAUCCUUUUUGUUUUUUUAAUAAUAAGCUUUUGUUACAAAUAUGAAUUUGUGGAAUUGAAUAUGGUUAUGAAAAUAGCUCUUCAAAACAUUAAAAAUAAUUCAACCAAAAUAUUGCUGAAUUUACUUUUUUUAUUACACAUCAUGAAAGAUCAUCAUAAAAGAUCCAAUAAAAGUCCAUCCAAUAAAAGCUAAAAUUGGAAAAAAAAUGGGUGUGCAAAAAUACUUUUAGGGUAGGACUAAUCAUUUGACAUCAAUUUGUGGUGUGAUUUAGAAUAUAUGACAUUUUUUUUCAACUCAUUUAAGCUACUUUUUGUGACACCCUUAUUUUGUACCCCCAUGGGAUGUGCUCUUAUUUUGAAGGCCAGAAAUGUUCCGCGUAUUGAGGUAAUUUGGCAGGAGUUAGUGGAGAAACGAGUGGGCUAAGAAUAAAAUGCCUCCUGCAGCUGAGCUACUGUCUUUUUGUUCACUCUGUACUCCCAUAACAUUAGUGGGAAUCCUCACCCGCUCGGUUACACUCUCUUCAACGCAAUAGUAAUUUAUUGACAGCAUAGUAUAAGCAACUAGCAUGGUAUAACACAGUAUAAACAACCAGCGGUUGGAGCGGCACUUCCCUGUACAAGCUCCCUGCACAAUGGCACAGUGAGGGGGAACUACCACUGUAGCUCCGGAGCCGAAUAUCCAACGUCCAAAGUGAAAUUAACUCCACCACGGUGCACCGUGGACAUUCUUGCAUGGUAGUGUUGUGUUUUCUUCUUCUUGCGGAUGGUGGGAGUCGAGAGGCAACCAGCUUUGAGGCGCAUUAGCGCACGUACCAUGUUGCAGUGUUGUCCCAGAGUUACGAACGUCAUACGGCAACCGUAUCGGCCCGAUCUCGUGGAAGCUGAUAUUUUCUAUCUUCAAAAUACAGCGGAUCGGCAGCCGAUCCCGAUCCUGAAGAUUGGAUCAGACAUCCCUACUACACACUUGUGUUGUCAUAUAUGUAGGCAGUAAUGGCUGUGUGAUGUCAUGAUUAGUGGUUAGUAAAUCUAUACUGCUGUACACUGACUAUAAAGUAUAUCCAAGUUGUAGUUCUUCAGUACUGUCCCUUGGGAAUAUAGAAUAUGUAAUGUGAGGGAUGGACUCACUUUUGUGAGAAAAUGUAUGUGUCUCUACAAGUUUUGCCUUUUUCAUUAUAUACAAGUCCUGAUAUAUCAUAGCUGAUUUUCUCUCAAUAUAUUGUUAAUUGCUGUAUUGUGAUGUUAUCAUUGGCAAAACGUUGCGGUAAUAUAUCUGAGUUACUUUGAUUUCCACCCGAAGGUAAUUAAAGUUGGUGCCUCCACCACUGUAAACAAGUCGUGGAGACUAAUGUCAGAUAAAAACUUUGUGGACUUUGUUUGAACCUUUUGAUAACUCUGUCAUCUAAAUAUCUUCAUAACAUCCAUCUUCUAUGCCACUUGUCAUCACUAAGGUAUGCUGGAGCCAAUCCCAGCUGACUUGGGACAGAGGCGGGGUACACCCUGGACUGGUCGCCAGUCAAUUGCAGGGCACAUCUUCAGAUCUUCUCGAUCUCCUGACUGUGUGUCCAACAUGCUAGCCACUAGUCCACCGUGCGGCCCUCAGACUUUUACACAUACUUAUUAAAAUGAUGUACCACAAAGUAUGACAUUUUGAAGCGUAUAAAUGUGAGCGCUCAUAGUCAUUAUCCGGUGUAUAAAGUUACAACUAGGGAUGUCCGAUAAUAUCGGCCACCGAUAAUUAUCAGGCCGAUACUGGCAUGAAAAUGUGAUAUCAGCCAACAUCAGUAUCGUUUUUUUCCCUACAAUGAAAGCCAAUACAGAGCUUUUACCGCCAAAGUCAAAAAUUUGCAUUGUUGCAUUCAUUGCUGAACUUGCUGCAUCAUGUAGUUAAUACUGUGCUGCUCACAGGUCUGUGAGAAUGAAGUAACUCUACAGUAUAUUUAGCAAGCAGAGCAACAACAGAGCUCACAGUGAACUUACCAGCUCCAUAUAAAUCGUGGGGGGGUUAACAUUCCACAUACCAUUCUUACUCACUGUGUUUUUAAAGAAAGAGCUUAAAAAAAAAAAACAUCAUACAGCCACGUAAUAGCUAGAUAACAACAGACAAAACACUACCAACGAAUAAUGCAGAAUAACCAACAACUAUGUGAGCUCUAAACAUGUAACUUGGCAACCAUUUACAACAACAGUUCAGCAAAGCACGGUGAGAAACAGAAAGCUCUCUUGUCAAAACCAUAUACGUAGAUGCUGCAUUGCCGAGCCGUCCGUCAAAGUCGCCGCCAUAUUGGAUGUGGCAAGGCUGCGCUGUAAGUGAAGCCAAGUAAAUGUACUUAAUAAAGCGCCUUUCUACACAGAAAUGUAAGCCUAUAUAUAUGUGUGUGUGUGUAUAUAUAUAUAUAUAUAUAUGUAUAUAUGUAUAUAUACACACACACACACACACACACACACACACACACACGUGUGUAAUUAUAUACGUGAUUAUAUAUGUGAUGUUACACAUCAGUGUCGGUUGAUAUCGGAAUCAGAAAUUGAGAGUUGGACAACAUCGGCAUAUCGGUUAUCGGCAAAAACGCCAAUAUCGGACAUCCCUAGUUACAAGACUUGAAAGCCUCGUGAAAUAAACCCAAAUUUAGCAGGUCUAAAUCCUCCUGUGAUGAUGACACUGUACACAAAUGACGUCCUCCUUCUCACAGUAACCGCUGUGUUGACAGAAAAAGGUGGCUCAUUCCUCAACACACAAAAACACUGGCUUUGGCCAAUGUUGUCUUCUGGAGCAUUCCUUGUUUACAACAUCACAAUUUGGGUGUUUCUGGCACAGUUAGAGCCAGGGGUGAGGGAAGGUGCUGGUCACCCAAUACGGCUCUGCAGACCUGUUCAGGCCUCACUGGGGCUCUCUGUGCUGGUGGGUCUGGAGGAGUUGGAAGGAAACGUGGGACAUAACUCCUUGUUGACAUCAAUCUCCUGCCAUUGGGGGGCCCAAGGAAGCUGGGUAGGAGUGGAGGGGAGGUCACCCUGUUGAUUUAACACCUCAACAAAGCAGGUCUGUUUGGAUGGCGGGGCCUAAUGGACUGCGUCCACGAGAGGCUGUUGUUUUAGAAAAUGCUGUAUGUGUUUGUGGCUAGAAGUAUAGCUCUCUGUGGUUAUGUUAGCACUUUUGCUAACAUAAGAAGAGGAAUAUGAGAAACAGAAAAUGGUGACAGUCUGUAAGCCCUAAAUCAAACUGGAGAUGGGGGGGGGCUCACUUUUGUGGAAAGUAGAAGGAAUGACACAAAUGAUGAAGAUGGAAAGAUGAAGGGGCUAGUUCGUAUAUCCAACCUUAAUGCCCAUGACGGCAGAUCCUCUCCAAAAUCAAGAGCUUGAAGACUCUUUGUUUGUUGUCAAAAUCCCUAGAUGACAGGACAGAUCCCCCUUGGUCACUCUUUCAAACCCGAGGUAAUGUGGUCUUGAGUCAUCCCUUUAAACUUUAGUCCAGCACGAGGAAAACAAUGCCUGGUAUGAGUUUGAGAACAUCUGUUUCCACUGUACCAAAUCAAGAUCUUCUUCUGCAUUGUGGCAGAGUUACAAUGCACAGAUGAGCUACAACUCAAAUGUGUCGUAGCCUUACAGGACCAGAAAGAGCUUCCGUACAAUGUCGACAUCAGUGCCAAGAAGCAGAAUGGAGACAGUGACGGAUUUUUCAACGCUCUAGCAGCGAGGCAUUCAAUCGAUGGCAACUGGACUGUUCUGCUAAUAGUCCUUCUUGAGAUGCGCGCGACCCUGGUGACCAGAUACAAGAAACGUCUGACCUCAGUGCUUGCCAACAAGGAUUUUCUCCCCCAAGUACUAAGACAUGGUUUGCUUUCCGUCAAUAAAAUACAAUUUUUUUUCAUUAACCUUUAUUUAUUGUUAUUUUAUUAUUUUUUUUGUACAUUGUGUCUCUCUCUGCUACAGUAAACCUUCCAUAAAAAAUCUGGACUGUUCAACUUACAAAAUCAGCAAGGGAUCAAAUACUUUUUCCCCUUGACUGUAUAGCAAAGCAAAGCUCAAGUAUAAGCCAGAUACACUUUAAUAUCGUCUGUAUAAUUAUUGGCUCGAUUAGUAUAUUUUUUGUAUACCUGCAUAACUCAGUGCUUCUCAAAUAGUGGGCUGGGCCCCCUGAGGGGGCGCGGUGAACUGUCAGGGUGAGGGUGAGAGACAGAGAAGACUUUCAAUAUUAGUACAGACCUGCCAACAUGUACGAAUUUGUUAUACUCAGCAUUCAAUUUGACUCUUCAAUACGUUUGUAUGCUUCACUGCUUUUUGUUUUGUUGCAUUUUGCUUGUUUCAAUUUCAAGUUCAGUCUGUACAUUACAGAUAAAUAAAUAUAUCAGUUUCUCAAUAGUAUUUCAUGGUCACAGCAUGUAGUAUAUAAAACCAGAAAACCUUGUUGGAGGUGUUUUAAUAGCGGUCUUCCUGGGCGAAAUAGGCGUGUCCCAUUACAUGCAUUAAUUACUUUUUAAAAAUAUAUUUUUUUGCUGUUUUUAUAUGUUUACAUCGCACAGAAAAGAGACGUGUGUUCAUGUCUGACAUAAGGAUUGUGGAUGAUGGGCAAAAUUCCAAGUUAUUCUUUAAAACAUUUUUUUCUUUUUGUAAAGAUGAAUGUGUUUGCACAUUGCCUCUGUUAAUGAAAUAAUAAACUAAGCUAAGCGAUGGAGACGUCCUGAUCAAUGAUUGGUUCAACGGUCAGUGACAGCCAUAGGUGACGCCUCCGCCGUCGCUGCAGAUUAAGAGGGUGGCUGGGUCAUGGUUUAGGGAAGUAAUUGUUAGCCAGCUUUUUGUCUCUAUUUCAGUAAGUCUGAUAAUAAAGGGGGUGGAGUGGUGCCAUAGGGGCUGAGCCCGCUCCCUUUUUGAUCAUUGAUCUCUGUGACCCCAUUUGAAUGGUCUUAAUCUCUCAGUUGACCUCCUCGAGGAUAUUUUAGAGGGAGGGUGACAGGGGUGGAUGUUUACUGGGAACCAUCAAGAGUGAGGAUGCUGUGGUGAAAGUGAUUUGAGGGAGGUGGGGCAUAUUUUUCCGCUUGAGUGGAGAAUGGUGUAAUGGCCCUGGGAUGUCAGGAGAUGCAUGCUUGUGUGACAAGUGCCAUGUAUAUCUCUGACAUGUAACUUCAUUUUGAGCUACUUUUUACUAUUCGUACACGCAAAACCCAGUCAAUGCCGCACCGUGGUUUAUCCUCAACUUUUCUUUGCAGCUGUUGGUUUCUGUAUUUGUUAUUUAAAACACUAAAUAGUAGAAGCAACAAAAAACAUCAUGGUGCAGAAAAAGAUGGCCUUAUCCCCCUGUCUAAAAACAAACCCUUCUAAAGCGGUUGGUCCAUCAUGAAAAAACUUCAAACUUUCCUUCAGCUUUUGUUUUGUUUCAAAUUGAAUGAUUUGACAAGACUCCCAGACUGCACCCAUUUACAUACAGGCACAUCUACACUGGGGUUUGCACAAUUGUGCAAAACAUUUUAAUCACGAUUUUCUUGCUUAGAAAUGUCUCUGUGGCAAUUUUUUUACACACACACACACACACACGCACCAUGUUCAGGGCCAUUUGCUUUUAAAGAAAUCAAUUCUAUUAUGUUAUCAUCAUUAUGAGACUUAUCAUUGUCUUGUUCUGCUUUAAAUAAACUUCCACUGGUUUUUCUGUCAUUCUUCAUGGGAGGUCCCAGAAGGACAGUUGACUGCUGACUUUUUUUCGAGGGAUGAAAAGAAAGAAAAUAAUCCAUGAGUCAAAAACACAGCAUGCUCCCUCACUCACUCCACAACAUUGACGCAUGUUGGAAAGACAAGUCAAAAGGAAAACUCAGUUAAUUCAUGCAAUCGCUUGUCCUGCAAACUGAUAGCCAGAGUGCCUUGCUGACUAGGGCGGCGGAGCCAUCUCGCCCCGGCUUGCUGGGGAACAUGGAGAUGGAGGAGUGUGUCGGCCAGUCCAAUACAGUGUAGCGUGACUCCUUGAUUAAAAUGGCAGUUUGUCUGUGAUGCAGUUUGUGAAAUACAAUUUUAAACAUUAGAUUGUAUGCUAGUGUGAAUUGAGGUUGCGAUUGAAUUUUUUAAAAAUUUAUUUAUUUUAUUAUUAUUAAUUUUUUACAUUUUUCAUGCAGCCCUACUGUGCGCCUCAUUUAAGCUGCUACAUAUGGGAUUGUGCAACCCUGGAUGGAGCUAUUAACUACUUCAUGUCAAUAAAUACUAAUUACGUAUGUCAGUACUGUUCAAAUGAAAUGUUUUUAUUAGAGAUGUCAAACAUAAUCCCUUAAUGGCGGUAGCUCAGUGAUUUAAUUAAUUCUGUUUACAUUUUGAACGUAAUAAACGCAUGCACAUCAUGACAAGCCGCACCUCUUAUAAUGGCAGACGGAGGCACGGUGUAGCGUCCCCACAGAGUCACACAGAGCCUGACACUUUUAUAACUUUAUUCUUCUUUAUUAUUUACCAACAGCAGUGUAAUUCAUCACAACGUCUUUAUUAUUCAUGUAGGCGUGGUCUAAAUUAACAUAAACAUUGAGAAAAACAAUGAGUGGAUAUUCUUAUCGCUCAUUUUGUAACUACAAUUUUGUGCAAUUUGUACAAAUUGGAAAAUGAAAUACAAUUUACUGCAUUUAAGUAUGCUCGCAAAUCCAAGGAAAUACAAUCAAAAUUUAAAUUAUAUUUUCGAACGAAACACUUCAUUGCUCGUAACACGGUGAAAGUGUGAUUCAAAUGAUCUGCCACUAUUAAAAGACUAGUGUUUGGCAAAAGGAUUUGCAGACUUGUGGUAUUUUUUCGCUUGGUUUAAGUGGUUACUUCUUUUGGAGUUGUUAAUACAUACAAAUAUACAUAAUCGUGUCCUGUCAUUUAUCUUUCUGUUAAUAGAAUACAGUGAAAAUGGGCAUCUUUCAGACACACAGUAGUUGCAAAUAGUGAUUAAUCAUGAUUAACUUGUGAUUGCAAAAUUUUAAUCAUUUGACAGCCCUCAUUUUCAUUUCUUUUUUUCCUCGAGGACGCUUUGACAAUUAUGCCGUGUGUAUGAUCACCUGUCUUUGAGCCUUACACUCGGUACACUGCAGUGUACUGAUGCAGUAUUUUUUUUUUUUUUUUUUUUACCUUUCUCUAAAGCAAUCAAAGAUGCAUUGAGCUACAACCAUCUCUACUGUAGAGCAAGUAAACCAGGUAUUCUGACAUUUCAGCAUUACCCGAGGCGCUUCAUUUCAUUUGAUUAUAGAGAAUAACACACAAGGUUUAUUUGAAAACAGUUUUAUGUGUAAGCUCUACCUUGAAAAGAUUUUACAAAUCACAGUUUUUAUUUGGGGCUACUUCACUUUUGAUGAGGAUGAGACAUUCUAGUGCAGUCUUUAUUUUCAGGAUUUCAUCUGCAUUGUCAUAGUUUUGUGCAAGGGAGGAAUAAACACCAUAACAGGAAGAGGGGGAAUUCACUGAGAGGAAUGUGUUUUCAUUCGAGUGUCUAUGGAGUUCAGGCAUGGUAAUCAAGUCACUCGUUUAUUUUGUCUCUUCAUCAGGACCACCAGAUGAGCUUGAGUGUUGUCAGACAAGGUGUUUAGCUCCAACACGCCCAAUCAUAAGCAGCCCUGCAGAUGUGCACACUUGUGUGAAUCAGAAAGUUAUGUUUCUGCUGUAGGAUUUGGUGCUUGUUGUGGGCUCAAUCCACUGUUGACUUUCAGGAAUGCUACAGAGCACCAGCACCAUCUGGCAUGUAUGUCCUAUGUCCAUAUGACACUGUUGUCUUCAUCUUCAGCUGGAAAGGUUUAAAAAAACAAAAAAAAGUUGCACAAGGUCACUUGUAAGGAAACCGUAAUGAUUGGAGUUGAUGCUAGGCGGAAAACCACUGUGCUGGGAGAAUUGUGAUAAUGACAGACGGAACACUUCCUGGCUUCUUGUUUUGAUGGGUGAUAGUGAUCUCAAAUAGCGUUACCUAAGAUUGUCAGUCCAGCCUGCCAAAAAGAUUACACCGCUGAAGCUGAAGGCAAAAGCCAGAGAGCUGGGAAAACAUAAAUCUCCAAAUGAGACUGGUACUGUUGCAGAACGCGUUGCCCCAGACCUUGCCUUCCACAUAUCUCGCCACGAAAUCGUCUGGGGUUCUUUUAUCUGCACAGCAAUGCUAUCCAGGCCACAAGUUCUGCUUGUGUGUGUGUGUUUUUUUUAAUACAUAGCUCUCUGUAGGCGUGUUCCAAGACAACAAAAUUAAUUUUCAUGAAGGUGAAGAAGACUGAUGGAAAUCUUCUAUGAUGAAUUCUAACUUGCAGCCUAGUAGUGAGAUUGGAAGCGAAUUAUAGCCAUAUUGAGCAUCCUGUUACUCGACUGUUGUUGGCCUCCAACAUCAACAUGAACUUGUCAGAUGUUGGUGUAUGUUUUCAAAGAUGAUUAAACACUAUAAACUGGGCCCACACACACAUACAUGUACUGUAUAUUGAUGCAAUGUCAAUCUGUGCUGUGUCCAAAGCCUCUUACUUCGAACAUCUGCAUUCCUUCAUGGCACAACCACCUCCAGAUGUUCCUCUCUUAUACUGUACCCCCACGCACACACUCUUAAUUUGGUUAAGUUUCCCCACAUAAAGCCGUUGUGCACCUAUAUUUUAUUCUCGUUUGACAGCUUUGACCUGUGAACCCCCUUUGAGAAUGUUUCGUGAAAACAUUAUUGCAAAAAAAAUGUACACUUUCCCUUUGUUGGAAAGACAAAAGGCACUUUUGGUCAGGAUCCAGAAAUGAUCAAGACCCAGUGAAACACAUCAAGCAAUACUUCAUAAUGCAUAUUAUGUAACAAUACAUUUGGGUGGAAUUUCAUAAAAUAUGUGCCAGUCUACUGUAUGUCUUAGUCUUUUUUCAUUUCUGAUCAUUACACAAAUGGUCAAUUACUUUUUGGCAUUUAGUUGUUAAGUCAUCCCCCCCAUCAAGAUGUUUUGCUUGAUGGCGGCCAUGUUUCUCAAUUGAGUUACACUGGGUGUUUUGUAGAGUACACUCAGCUGUCCAAGAAAGUCAGUCUGACUUACAGGGUCAAACUUUAGGGUUUAUCACAGUGUCACCAUAUGGUGUAUUUUUCAGAAAAAUAAUAGCACAGGCGACACAAUAGGGGUGUAUGUUUUGCCAAAUGUUCACCCUUUUGUGUGCAGAUGUGCAGUCAUGGGGUGUCCUGAUUUUUGUUUGAUUGAAGCGCCAUUUCUUCAUUUUGCUCUCCAUUCUUGAACCAACUUACCCCCUGCGAUGGCAGACAUGACUGAUCUGUGGGCUUGUCAGGUAACAUCAGUGCAAAGCUGGUGCCAUGUGACGCCCCCGGCAGCUUGCCAAAAGCUAAUUGUGCUAAUUGGCGAGCGCCAAUCCUGUAACAAGGCUUUGAGGGGCGACCCACCGACACAGAUGAAAGCGUGCAGAUUUCUCUUGUGUCAAGGACUUGUGGGUAAUCAGCGCGUCCAAUGACCUGCAGGCCAGGAGGGCAGGACCAGGACCGGGACAGUGCUGUGGCCCGUCUGUGGAGGGUGAAGCAAAGGGACAUGUCCUGAAGACUUUAAGCCGACACUGUGGCUUAAUUUGGAUUUAAAUUACAUUGCAGAAUCCAUAAGAAGCUCAUCUCGAAUCUUCCCAUGAAAAAAUAAGAAAUUAGCUUGGCUUUGUUGCUGGAUUCUUUUUGGCCAGAGCUCAAAAACAUGUUAGACUUCAUGUGGACAAAGAUUGAUCCAGAAGUAGCACAGACUAAUCCCCAUUUUCCUAAUUCGUUGAGGUGAGAGCAAAGUCAGUCUUGUUCUUUUGUCUGUGGAAUAUAAAUAACGCUGUCUCUGGGUUCAUUGAUGAGACCAGACAUACCUCUCCCAAGAGCUUUUAUCAGUCACCAGGUCAUUUUACUUCUGCAGCUUUGUCUGAUAGCCUAAAUGGAGAGUGGUGCGAGGAGGUUGGGGGUGUUUCUGCCAUCUUGCAUGGCUUUGUCAUGUCUUUAUAGGUGAACGAUGAACAUGUGCCCAUUUGUUGUCUUAAGUGUAUGUUAAAAGUCUUGUAUCAUUUUAUCUAUAUUAUAUUGACAUUAUAAUUUUACAUUUUAACAUUAAUAUCAUGUUAGGUUAGGAUAUUCACUGAAGGAAAACUACGUAUAUGAUAAAACUUACAGCUCCCACGUCUGUAGUAGUCAGAUAGUUGGCAGAGCUUCAGGAUUUAUUUUAAGAUGUGUUACGAAGCCUGCUCUUUUUAAACAAAGUUUUCUUCCACGAAGUGGUGGGUGUAUACACCGGACAGCCUCAUCUUGCUAGGGGCGGGUCUGAGGCAGUAUUAUGUUCAUGAGCAAGGAGGUUUUUCCUUCAUGACAUCAUGAAAACUUGGAACUUCAAAACCGAGUGCCUCGUCUCUCAAAAGUGGAGCAAACAAGUGAGGGAGACACUGGAUUUUUCUCACAUUUCGUUCUCACAAACAGGCUCUAAUGACACAUUGCUGUUAUAAUGUCAUUAAAAAUCAUUUUUGCAUAACAGGAGACUUGGGACCUGUAAGUUUUUAGUAAUUAAAUGUGCAACUCGGUCACACUCCCAACAGUAUGUGUCGUGUUUGUGUUUUUAACACAUCGCCAGCAAUUUGUACAUUUACUACGGUGCUACCGUGUACAGCGGAGGCAAGACAAAGGGUAAUCAGAAGAAGAGUGGACACGCAGGUGGCGCGACAUCAAUGCACUGGCAUGCAUAUUACAGCUUUUUUGCAGGUCUGUGUUAAAAUAUGAACUAUUUUUUGCAUCAUAUGGUAUUACAAGGAAGGAACUUCACUUUUUGGCUGUGAAUUUAGAAAUGUAGUUCAAUUUACUUCAACUCUGUAAUCAAGUGUGAAAUAGCAAAUUAUCAAAUCAUAUCAGAUUUCUUUCUACAUACUUGGGUUGUAUAAUGUCUGAACUAUGACAGAUUCCUGCUCCUCAUGUCCAUUCAUCCACAUAAUAGGGUCAUUACUGUGAUGAUCGGCAGUAAAAUGCUGCUCAGGUAGCGGUAAUCAUAUAUUAAAAUGUAACAAAGCGAAAGACUCAGCAGCGAAAGACUCAACCACAUGGUGGUGUUACCCCCCCGAACUCAAUGAAAGAUCAAACGCACCUCCCGCUUUGACUUUAUCACACCUCUGACAGCUCAUGUCGGAGGGGUUAAUCUGCGAGUGCCAGAAAUCAAAUGAAUGUGCAGAAUACUUGGCAUGUCACUCUUCCUCAGUGCGAUGUAGCCACAUGAACAUGUAAACUGUCUGAGUUUUGCAGACAUGGCUGCAGGGCAGAGAGAAUUACACUGUCACACAGAGGAUAUGGAGCUGCCGUGACAUCCUCUUGGCACAUAGUUGAAGGCCAUCCAGGUGGAAAUCGCUCUGCUCUGCCAAGAGCAAGGUGGGGAGGGAGGCAGUUAGUUGUGUUGCAUCUGCAUCAGCAAGGAUUGUCUUUAAUGCGAAUCGUAUAUGCUGUUAACUUUUGUAGCUGUCAGACGCAAGGGAGGUGUUUAGUACUAAUGAUGAGUGUAGACGCAAGCAGAUGUUAAAGCUUGUCUUUUUUUCUCCCUUUACACAUUUUUAUAAAUCAAAGUUUGCUUUCUGCUAGUACUGUGUUCGCUUGUCUUUAUAGUUUUGGGUGUUGAGUAAUAAAUCAACAAAUAUGCAAAAUAUAUAUAAUUGUGUCCUCUCUUUAUCUUUCUACUCAUAGAAUACAGCAAAAAUAUUUCACACAUAGUGGCAAAUAGUGAUUAAGCAUGAUUAAUUUGAAAUCUGAUUAAUGUGAUAAAAAUGUUAUCAAAAGUUUCUAUGUUUAGGAAGACUUUUCUUCUGGCCUGCACACUUGGACCACAAAAACACCCUUGGGAAUAGAGCCAUGUCUCUGUGGAUAAGCUGUUUGUGUAAUAAUUAAUCCAACCUCGCAACAUCUGUUUUCAUGUUAUUACUCUGUGCCUGUUGCACAUAUGAUGGGCAUUGUUUUAACCCUGUGUGUGUCUGUGUAUGUAAAAUACAUUGGAUCGGGGUGGUCCUUGGCUAGAAAAUCAUUUUCAGUAUCUGGAUUAAAUUUACAGAAAGGUUAGAGAGUGUUGGAAGUGAUUUGUCUACAGUUACAAGAAUUCCCUGCUGUGUUGAGUGCAUACACUCAUCUACUCACCCACGUGUCCAACAAGCAUAAACAUGUAGGUCAGCCAUGUUUCCAUUGUCUUCACUGGGGUGCAUUGUUAUGAAGCACAUAAACAAAUGCGGCCAUAUCUAGCCUAACAGUUCUGCUUAGUUUAUCACAAAUCUUUCCGUGUGCCAAACGGUUGUUAACAUUGCUACUGAGAUGGCAGCUCCUCUCUUGAACAGUGGCAGAGGGAAGAGGACAGCCACACUGGUGUUGAUACUGGUGUUUAGUAUUGUCUAUGCUGGGGUGACUAAACCUUUUCCACCCAGAGCCGCAUAUGGAAACAAGGAACGACAAUUGGCUACUUGUUGUAUUCUUAACCUUUUCAAUUCAAUGUUGGUUAAGAUACGCUAUCUUGGACCCAUAUAAUGUCGAGACAGGCAUGGACAAACACAGCUCAUUAGCAUUAAAGCUACAGAUACACAAAACGCUUCAACUUUUUUUCUUGAACCCUUUUAUGUCAGUGUUUUUUAGCAAAUUGUCCCAAAUCAUCCUUAGGAAUGUGAUACUGGCCGUGGUUAAUAAUCUGCCAUGUGCCAAGGGGAAAAAAAAAGACCUGCAAGCUACAAAUGGCCCUAGGCUGCUCUCUGGAUGCCCCUAGUCUAUAGUCUGUGCUUCCAUUUUCAAGCAGACUAAGUUUCAGAACAGUUUCAGAACAGAAAAGAAACUUUUGGUGUGGAGAAUUUUCUGUGUUUUAUUUAUAACAUGCAAGUCUGACCUUAAAGGGUUAGUUCGGAUUUUUUGAGAUGAGGUUGUAUGACAUCCCCAUCGUCACAUACUCAUGAACAGAGAGGCGACAGUGCGCAUGGACACGGCGGGAGACAAAUACCGAGCGAUUUGUGAGGUCAGAUUUUUUUUUAGUAGACGUUUUUAUGAUGUUAUGAUGAGUUUAUGUUUAUGAUGAGACCAAAUGGGGGGGGGGGAGUCACUGUUGAUACAGUUCACUGCUGAUGGGGAUGUCAUACAACUUCAUGUCAAAAAAAUCCAAACUAUCCCUUUUAAUUCUUCCAAAUUGAUCCCUCUGGAAACAGUUUGGGGCUGUUUGCUGGAGCUGGAUGUGGUUGGUGUGAGCAAUGCAAGGGUGCCACCCUUCACCAGUGUCCUCAUCUGUCCCUGUCUCGUCCGCCCACCCCUCCACCUUACUCCCGCAGUGUCCUUUCCGAGGGCCAGCUUGUCUGAACCCGAACAACAGUUCCAUUUGUUCUGCCAGGGAUGGGAAUGCACUCAGCCAUCUUUAGCAGUGUUUCUGCCAAGACCACUGGAUGCCAAACCUGUGGGUCUUACUCAUAUGCCAGCUCGUUUUUAAUGCUCUCUUUUCACCCUGUCUGCCUCGGUCUGCGACAGUGUCACAGUUGCUGGCGAAGGGUCUCGAAAAGGAGCCAUCUGUGUGGUUACAUGACGGUGAACCUAUCAAACAACAUACCUCACAAUCAAAGUUGAUCAUCCUGUGUAAUUGUUUAACUGCGCUUUUGUGCGAUGAAAGAAUCUGUCGUCUUAAACAGAAAAACAAGAUUCAUGCAAGUAGUAAAUUGCGAUUAUUCCUAUCUUUUGAGUCAUAGUCUUGCUACACUGAAUUACCUAAUGCCCCAAGGCAUUGUCUCAGUCCAACUCCGAAACAAAUAAGUAGAUAUUUUCAAAGCAGCUCUAUGCAGCCAUUGUUCACUGCAAUAAAAUAGGCUGUGGACUAUAUGCCUCAUUGCCCACCACUCCUCCACCUCCAUUGUGUGUGAGAUGGAUGAGUGAGCGUAUGUAAACAUACCGCAUUGGGUCACAGCACUGUCCACAGCACACAACCAAUAUGGGACUCUUCAGAAUGCUCUUGAAGUACUUAAGAAAACACGUGCUGCCGAUACCUAUCUGCAGGCCACUUAAACCGAUCUUUGUUUCUCAACCGAGAUGAAUAUAGGACAGAACUGGAACAGGAACAAAUUAACAUUGAACAUACCUUUUGCAUUUUAGUAAUAUUUAACUCAUUCAACGCCAGCAUUUUCCAUAAGACAACCCAUUCAUUACCGGCCAUUUUAGAUGAUUUUGACUUAUGUUUCAAGGCACACAGAAUAUUGUGUUCUAUGGCUACUGUAUAUAAACAUAAAACCUACCAAAAGAAAGAUUAGAUUGCCGUCUUUCAUCAGAAAAACAAAAAAGUUUGUUUCUACCUUUUUCCGUUCUUUAGUAAUCAGCAGUAGAACAUAGGUUGCUGACUAGAAAAGGGAGAAAAUGAGCUUUGUGAAAAGAUACAUUUCAAGCACAACAUGCACUUUGACACAAUUAUUUUUUGCUUUUGUGACAGCUCAAAUAUCUAAACAACUAUACCACAACAUAAACAACACUUUUUUUUUUUUACCUCAAAAUAACAAUUUACAGUAUUUACAAAAAACGCCAUGAACUAUUUACAGUUUUCAUAUUUGGAACUGAACUAUGUGUCUGCAUGUGCGUGUAUGUGCGUCUACGUAUUUGGUGUUUGGUAUCUGGUGUUUCACUAAUCUAUUAAAUAGGGGUGUCACUCACUCACUCGAUACACUCAGCUCACGAGACGAGACGAUACACGAUACACGAUAUUAGGUUCACGAGAGCGACACGACGAUAUUUUAACAUUACUUUAAGAAAAAUACAGUAACAAAAUAUAGGAGGGGAAAACAGAAGGUACAUUUUGAAAUGUUUUAUAACUUGGCAUGGUUGACCUAAGCAUCAUGCUUUUAACUGUUGAACUUUUCCACAAAUUGAAACCAAAAUUAAAAAUUAAAGAAGUUAAAAUAAUGACGGCAGCUACUAAACAUUUAUGUAGUUAUGUAAAGACACAUGUAAAAUAGAUUGCAAUAGAUUACCUUUUAUGUUUACGCUAAAAUAACUAGACAGUUCCCAUGAUGCUUAAGAGUGCCAAACCACAAAGCAGGUCCGAAUUAGACUCUACGAUCACAUGCUUUGAUAGGAGUCUUAUGCAGCGAAUGUGUUUUCAUCUGACAAAUCUUAAAUAACUUUGAUCAAAUGUAGAAUAUCUACGACUUCUGCUUGGUCGUAGUAAAAACAGUCACACGUUGCGAGCGAGUGACGCUGGGAAUGCCGAGUGCGGGUAGGAUUGCAAGGUUUAUAGUGUGUGUAAAGUGCUUAAUGUGCUGUUCCUAUCCUGAGAGUGCAGUCCAGACCUGCAAACAUGUACGCAUUUUUCGGCACGGCACUUAUUUUUACCUUCGAAUACACUUGUACGCUUUGCUGAUCUCCAGGUAAGCAUUUUGUUACAUUUCGCCAAUUUCAGUUCAUGAACAUCAGGUCUGUCAGUGCCAUCAGCAAACAAACAUCUCAACAGAGACCGUGACAUCUCAACAGAGACAGUGGGCGACAAGGCACUGACAGGGAGGGCUGCCUAGGGUUAGCUGAGCGAAUGAAGAAUGAAGGAAAGAGUGUAAUCUGCUCUGUCUGCUACAUUACACAUGAAUGAGGUCUAAGCACGUUGGCGGACUCACAGAGGAUGUACUCUGGCCUCAGGAAACAAAGAAAUGGACACAGCCAGUCACUUUGUUGCACUUUUGCUUCCACGUUACACUAUAUGGACAAAAGUAUAUGGUCACCUUCACCUACAGGGGCUGAAAAUGGAAGACAAUAUGCACUGCUGGGACAUUUCCGGGAUGUCUUUGUGCAACAUUUUGGAGCAUGUCCUUUGGCUCACAAUUUCCAUUCUAUUGUAGGAAAGUGAUCUGAACUUACCCAUCUAUGCCUUCCGUUUUGGAGAGGAAACUCUUUAGGUGACUCAGGCAUCUAAUACAGACUACUAGGGUUGUUGUUGAGAGGGUGACAUUAAAACGUGACAAGACUUCUCGUUUGGAGAAAAGCUGUAUCGCAAGAACAGGGCAGCCAGAACCCAAUUAGACUGUGAACAAUGGCACAGUCCUCUCAACAAGAGAGGAGAAAUAUAACCUCAGGGAAAAAUCAAACUCAUUUGUCACUUUGUCACUUUUUAAGAAAAUGUAUGUUAGAACCUUGGCUUGUUCUUGUAGACCCAAUUGUGUGCAUCGUCUCCUCGUGAGUUGGUUGUCUUGUGACACCCCUACAGACUACUACUACCACACUGGUGAGGCAGUGUGUGCAUGGCCAACGAGGAGGAAACCUCUACCUUGCAGUUUCCUCCUUUCCUCUCCUCCAAUGACACCCAAUGACCUGUACGUUGAGGUUUCCUCCUCUGAGGGCACGCAAGAUGGAAUAUGGUGUCUCAGAUGGCUUGGAAUCCCCUCUGUGGGUGGGCAGGAACAGGCAUAUGUGGACGUUUCCUGAUCAGAACAUUGCCUAUACAGCCUGGACCCCACGAAAGUGGAGGAAAAUGGUUAUAGUAGAAUAAUAAGGCCCUGAACAAUUAAGAUUUAGGGAGCGGCUAAUUUGUGGCUGAGAACUACAUUUCCCAUGAUGCUUAGAGUGCAACUUCAGGAAGUAGUGAUGUGGACAGUGAAGUGGAAGCUAAUACCACGUUUUGAAUCGUUUUGAUCAAGCUUAGAAUUACUACAGCUUCUGUUUGGACCGCUCGGACCAUCAUCACCAAUGGGUUUUCAAAAGUCUGGACUACGGUGUUCGGUGUUAAAGAGCAUAGCUCGGGUUAAAUGGCAAAUUUGCCUCGGGACAGAAGUGACUCAAAGAAUGACAACGAAACAGAGAGAGAGACUGACAAAGUGUGUGACGAAGGAAUUAUGAGGCUGUUCAAUUGUGGUGCUGAAGAAGACUACUUUAGUGGUUUUAGUUCCCUGAAGGAGGACAGUGAUUAAUGACUUUUC